GACGAACGCUGGCGGCGUGCCUAAUACAUGCAAGUAGAACGCACAGUUUAUACCGUAGCUUGCUACACCAUAGACUGUGAGUUGCGAACGGGUGAGUAACGCGUAGGUAACCUGCCUGGUAGCGGGGGAUAACUAUUGGAAACGAUAGCUAAUACCGCAUAAUAUUGAUUAUUGCAUGAUAAUUGAUUGAAAGAUGCUAUUGCAUCACUACCAGAUGGACCUGCGUUGUAUUAGCUAGUAGGGGAGGUAACGGCUCACCUAGGCGACGAUACAUAGCCGACCUGAGAGGGUGAUCGGCCACACUGGGACUGAGACACGGCCCAGACUCCUACGGGAGGCAGCAGUAGGGAAUCUUCGGCAAUGGACGAAAGUCUGACCGAGCAACGCCGCGUGAGGGAAGAAGGGUUUCGGAUCGUAAAGCUCUGUUGUAAGAGAAGAACGGGUGUGAGAGUGGAAAGUUCACACUGUGACGGUAUCUUACCAGAAAGGGACGGCUAACUACGUG
rnacentral:rRNA from 1 species